GGCGUACGGGUGAGUAACACGUGGAUCAUCUACCCUUGAGUUCGGGAUAACGCUGGGAAACCGGCGCUAAUACCGGAUGAGCCCGGGAGGGCAAAGCAGCAAUGCGCUGGAGGAGGAGUCCGCGGCCGAUUAGCUAGUUGGCAGGAUAAAAGCCUACCAAGGCAAAGAUCGGUAGCCGGCCUGAGAGGGCACACGGCCACACUGGCACUGAAACACGGGCCAGACUCCUACGAGAGGCAGCAGUGGGGAAUCUUGCACAAUGGGGGCAACCCUGAUGCAGCGACGCCGCGUGAGCGAUGAAGCCCUUCGGGGUGUAAAGCUCUUUCGGCAGGGAAGAAACAUGACGGUACCUGCAGAAGCAGCUGCGGCUAACUACGUGCCAGCAGCCGCGGUAAUACGUAGGCAGCGAGCGUUGUUCGGAGUUACUGGGCGUAAAGGGUGUGUAGGCGGUUCCCUAAGUUUGGUGUGAAAUCUCCCGGCUUAACUGGGAGGGUGCGCCGAAGACUGGGGAGCUAGAGUGCGGGAUGGGAGAGUAGAAUUCCUGGUGUAGCGGUGAAAUGCGUAGAUAUCAGGGGGAAUACCGGUGGUGUAGACGGCU
rnacentral:rRNA from 1 species